UACAGAGGAUGCAAGCGUUAUCCGGAAUGAUUGGGCGUAAAGGGCGCGUAGGUGGCUCGUGAAGCGUGCGGUGAAAGUCCGAGGCUCAACCUCGGAUCGGCCGUGCGGACUCGCGGGCUCGAGCGUUGUAGAGGCGGGUGGAAUUCCGGGUGGAGCGGUGAAAUGCGUAGAGAUCCGGAGGAACACCGACGGCGUAAGCAGCGCCCUGGACGAGACCUGACGCUCGGGCACGAAAGCUGGGGGAGCAAACAGG
rnacentral:rRNA from 1 species